rnacentral:rRNA from 1 species
UGGCUCGUGCAUCGAUGAAGAACGCAGCCAGCUGCGAUAA